UACGAAGGGUGCUAGCGUUGUUCGGAAUCACUGGGCGUAAAGCGCGCGUAUGCGGCUAUUCAAGUCAGGGGUGAAAUCCUUGGGCUCAACCCAAGAAUUGCCUUUGAAACUGUAUAGCUAGAGUGUCGGAGGGGAUAGCGGAAUUGCUAAUGUAGAGGUGAAAUUCGUAGAUAUUAGCAGGAACACCGGUGGCGAAGGCGGCUAUCUGGACGACAACUGACGCUAAGGAGCGAAAGCGUGGGGAGCGAACAGG
rnacentral:rRNA from 1 species